rnacentral:rRNA from 1 species
CUUUCAACAACGGAUCUCUUGGUUCUGGCAUCGAUGAAGAACGCAGCGAAAUGCGAUACGUAGUGUGAAUUGCAGAAUUCAGUGAAUCAUCGAAUCUUUGAACGCACAUUGCGCCCUUUGGUAUUCCAAAGGGCAUGCCUGUUCGAGCGUCAUUUGUAC